ACGAAGGGUGCAAGCGUUACUCGGAAUUACUGGGCGUAAAGCGUGCGUAGGUGGUUUGUUAAGUCUGAUGUGAAAGCCCCGGGCUCAACCUGGGAACUGCAUCUGUGACUGCAUCGCUGGAGUGCGGCAGAGGGGGAUGGAAUUCCGCGUGUAGCAGUGAAAUGCGUAGAUAUGCGGAGGAACACCGAUGGCGAAGGCAAUCCCCUGGGCCUGCACUGACGCUCAUGCACGAAAGCGUGGGGAGCAAACAGGA
rnacentral:rRNA from 1 species